UUACCUACGGGGGGCAGCAGUGAGGAAUAUUGGUCAAUGGCCGGAAGGCUGAACCAGCCAAGCCGCGUGAGGGAGGAAGGCGCAGAGCGUCGCAGACCUCUCUUGCCGGGGGACAAAAGGCCGGACGGGUCCGGUUCUGAGGGUACCCGGAGAAAAAGCAUCGGCUAACUCCGUGCCAGCAGCCGCGGUAAUACGGAGGAUGCGAGCGUUAUCCGGAUUUAUUGGGUUUAAAGGGUGCGCAGGCGGUCUGUUAAGUCAGCGGUCAAAGCCCGGGGCUCAACCCCGGCCCGCCGUUGAAACUGGCG
rnacentral:rRNA from 1 species